ACUUUCGUCAAAUAACAAGUCGUUUACCGCCAGAACUGUGAAUGAUUAGGUGGCGACACGUUGUCAUCAACACUAAUCGAAAAAGUUCCUCAUUCUUUUCGCAACGCACACGCACUAAAAGGCAUUGUUCUGGGCUGGUGAACUCCUUGAUACUUAUCCACUACAAGAUUGGAUCAGCUUGCAUGUUGACUUUGAAAAGGCACAUUGAUAUAAAAGUCUGCAGGUCAUUAACAUUAUAGAUGCUGACCUUUUCACUUGUGGUUUAAUUUGGGAAAAGAGUAAACAGCUUUGAAGAUGGUGACUUCUUUAAUCCCUAAGGUUAUCUUGCCUGAUGCCAGCGCUCAGAGGUUAACUCUCUCCCAAGGACUCCCUGCAUCUAUUGAUCUUAUGGUGUGGACUUGCUGAAAGGUUUAGACUUUAGUACCUGGAUUCCAUGUUUGGAAAUGAGUUUUUUCAGAAGUAGAGGACUAUGCAGUAAGAUUAUGAAAGUUCUGUAGUUAGUGGUCCAGUCUUAAAUCCCCAAGCUUUCAGUCUUUCCUCUGUAAGUGACUCUUCUUCCCUGUCAGCUGGUUCUGAUACAGAUAUGUCAUCAAGUGACUGUUCAAGUGCACUAUCUACUUGACCUGCUUUUUUUCAUGUGCCUAAAUUGUCAUAAACUAUCUAACUACCAUACAAAGCUGAGAAAACUGUUUUUUUUUAUUAGCAUUCUCCACAACUUUAUCUGAUUUGGGGUUGUAUAUGCAGACUUGCAUGCACCUUCUUGUUUCUAGACUCAUUGUCUAUUUUAUCAGCUCCACUUACCA